GUAUUGACUCGGAAGGCUGUGUGGGAGCUGGAGAACCAGGUUCCUAGAUGCUGGCAAUGCCAGGAUGGAUGAAUUACUUUCCUUGGCCCGGAGAGCCUCACCGUCUAGAAAGAGAUACAGACGUGCAAAUAAUUGCAAGAGAUUCCUCCAGGCAGCUGAGUGCACCUUCUGCAUACCUUUGAUAUCUAAUAUUCAAGUCAUAUCCCAGCCCUUGCUCCCCACAAGCAGACAGAACCAAGAAUUCUUCAACCUCUUCUGUCCUGAGACCCUGCCUGGGGCUCUCCUGAUUCUCUCAGCCACCAAGCUCACCUCCCAGUCUGUACUUUGGGCUUUUCCUCUCUCUGCAGGUAUGAAGUGGUCUACUCUGUUGCCG
rnacentral:lncRNA from 10 species